CGCGUAGGCGGGGAUUUAAGUAAGAUGUGAAAACUCCGGGCUUAACCUGGAGACUGCAUUUUAAACUGGAUUUCUUGAGGGCAGGAGAGGAAAGUGGAAUUCCUAGUGUAGCGGUGAAAUGCGUAGAUAUUAGGAGGAACACCAGUGGCGAAGGCGACUUUCUGGACUGUACCUGACGCUGAGGCGCGAAAGCGUGGGGAGCGAACA
rnacentral:rRNA from 1 species